GACAUACGCAGCUAUAAUGCAGUCGACGAGCUUCCGUUGAAUGACGUGCUUGCACUGAUUUCAACAAUGAAGCGAGUGGCGAACUGGUGAGUAACACGUGGGAAAUCUGCCCAGAAGCAGGGGAUAACACUUGGAAACAGGUGCUAAUACCGUAUAACAACAAAAUCCGCAUGGAUUUUGUUUGAAAGGUGGCUUCGGCUAUCACUUCUGGAUGAUCCCGCGGCGUAUUAGUUAGUUGGUGAGGUAAAGGCCCACCAAGACGAUGAUACGUAGCCGACCUGAGAGGGUAAUCGGCCACAUUGGGACUGAGACACGGCCCAAACUCCUACGGGAGGCAGCAGUAGGGAAUCUUCCACAAUGGACGAAAGUCUGAUGGAGCAAUGCCGCGUGAGUGAAGAAGGGUUUCGGCUCGUAAAACUCUGUUGUUAAAGAAGAACACCUUUGAGAGUAACUGUUCAAGGGUUGACGGUAUUUAACCAGAAAGCCACGGCUAACUACGUGCCAGCAGCCGCGGUAAUACGUAGGUGGCAAGCGUUGUCCGGAUUUAUUGGGCGUAAAGCGAGCGCAGGCGGUUUUUUAAGUCUGAUGUGAAAGCCUUCGGCUUAACCGGAGAAGUGCAUCGGAAACUGGGAGACUUGAGUGCAGAAGAGGACAGUGGAACUCCAUGUGUAGCGGUGGAAUGCGUAGAUAUAUGGAAGAACACCAGUGGCGAAGGCGGCUGUCUAGUCUGUAACUGACGCUGAGGCUCGAAAGCAUGGGUAGCGAACAGGAUUAGAUACCCUGGUAGUCCAUGCCGUAAACGAUGAGUGCUAAGUGUUGGAGGGUUUCCGCCCUUCAGUGCUGCAGCUAACGCAUUAAGCACUCCGCCUGGGGAGUACGACCGCAAGGUUGAAACUCAAAGGAAUUGACGGGGGCCCGCACAAGCGGUGGAGCAUGUGGUUUAAUUCGAAGCUACGCGAAGAACCUUACCAGGUCUUGACAUC
rnacentral:rRNA from 1 species